rnacentral:rRNA from 1 species
AUUGAACGCUGGCGGCAUGCUUUACACAUGCAAGUCGAACGGCAGCGCGGGCUUCGGCCUGGCGGCGAGUGGCGAACGGGUGAGUAAUGCAUCGGAACGUGCCCAGCAGUGGGGGAUAGCCCGGCGACAGCCGGAUUAAUACCGCAUACGACCUGAGGGUGAAAGCGGGGGACCGAAAGGCCUCGCGCUAUUGGAGCGGCCGAUGUCGGAUUAGCUAGUUGGUGGGGUAAAGGCUUACCAAGGCGACGAUCCGUAGCUGGUCUGAGAGGACGACCAGCCACACUGGGACUGAGACACGGCCCAGACUCCUACGGGAGGCAGCAGUGGGGAAUUUUGGACAAUGGGGGCAACCCUGAUCCAGCCAUGCCGCGUGCGGGAAGAAGGCCUUCGGGUUGUAAACCGCUUUUGUUCGGGAAGAAAUCCUCUGGGCUAAUACCCCGGGGGGAUGACGGUACCGGAAGAAUAAGCACCGGCUAACUACGU